CAUUACCAUUCACAAAGGGCUCUUCAGGUCCUGUUACCAACCAUUCACAAAGGGCUCUUCAGGUCCUGUUACCAACCAUUACCAUUCACAAAGGGCUCUUCAGGUCCUGUUACCAACCAUUACCAUUCACAAAGGGCUCUUCAGGUC